GGGUAAGGACUAAGCUCAUCCGAGUCAGCACCAGCUAACACACGUUAACGAGUCGGCAUUAGUUGACACAGGGUGGGCUCCCCUCAUGGGCAUAGCCCGGGCGAGGCUCAGCUUCACAUAUCGGACUUAUCCUUAUCCUUUGAAAUUACAAAGCUGUAAUGCUAUUUUCCAGUUAAAAUUACCUCAAAAGUAUCCAGCCACUAUGUUGCUCUCCAUAAUUUAUUAUGAGCUGUGAUUAGAAUGAGAUAAUAGAGGCCAUUCUUAGCAUGGUAUGACAUUCAUGUUAUCAGUUCAGUGUGUUGAACUAGAUCAUUUUUCCUCCCACCAAUAUAUUGCUACAUCUUCCUUUCAUUAAUGUAUGCAUAGAUAUGAAGAUUCACCAUGAUGAAAGAGAAGGAAGGGUUAAUUAAAUUUAAUCCCUCAGUGACAGUAGUAUAAAUCUCUCUGCGUCAUAGAAUCUGGUGAUUUGUGGCAACUGUCCAGCCACUGGCGCAAGAGUCUACAACAUGUAGCAGAACUUCCCACUUUGUGUUCUAACUCAUCACCACACAUAUAGCCGUACCUGGCACAUCAAGUGGUUUGUUAUGAUGGCUAAGCACAUAACCCAGCAAUAACGGGUUUAAAGAUAAAAUAUUUGUAUACAACUCCUCAUGUGAUAAACACUAUGAAUCCAAAAGUAUAGUUCCCAGGCUCUGCAUAUUUUGCUUAAUAAUGGUAGACAAGAUAAUUCUUGGUCUGGGAACUCUAAUUUAUUUUUUUUGAAUUGAUCUGAUUGUUUCUGUAAAAAUAGAUUUUUGAGUAAAAAGUAGUAUAAACAUUUUUCAGUUAUUGACACUCUAAUUGCAUUAGUAUAAGUUGUGUACCUUUUGAAAAGGAAUUUUUACUAUAAUUUUUCUCAGUUAUAUGGAUUAAAGAAAAAUGAUGUAGAGAGAUUAAGUCUACUGUUAUUAAGUCACUUGGUGUCAAGUCUCCUUGCCUCUUUGCAAUGUUGUCAUCUUAUCUAAAGUGUUUUUUGCUUUUUUGGUCAUUUUCCAAUGUCUCUAUUUGUCAUAUGAUAUGGUAAUAGACAGUUUUCCUUGCACAGACUCCAUAUCAUCUCUCUAUGUAGUCCAUAACUCAGUGCAAUUAUACUAGUAAGUAACAUUUUCAUUUGUGUAAUUUUUUACACUUUUAUAAAUAUUCAAGUUUCUGUAAUACACUGUGUCACCAGUUACAGAGGGCAGGAAUGGGAACCUGAGCAUGGAAAUAGUAUCCUCCCUGGAGCUAGUGCACUUCAGGUCAUGGCUCACAGAUAGCAUAUUCCACACUGAUAGCAAUAAUACAAGAGCCCCAUCCUAAGUGCCCACUGAGUCUAAUCGCCCUCCAAAAGCUUUGUGCCCUGGGAGAAAGUUGAGAUAUACUGGGCCUGGUGGCUCACCAAGAGUUUUCUUUGUAAUUGCAAGAGAAGGAUAGAUUCAGCAAUGUGCCCUCCUAGGCAUUUACCCCAUUUAUUUAACUGAUUGAUUUGCAUGAUCUGCCUUAACUCAUAGAUAUGGUCUGUAUUUCUAAAAAAAAAAAAAAAAAAAAAAAAAAAAAAAAAAAAAAAAAAAAAAAAAAUAGUGCCAUAUCAAAUGCCUUCAGUGUGUGUGUCUUUGUUUUCCUCCUGGGAUUUUUCUCAUGGCAUCUUUCUCUCAAUGUGUCCUUUUAGGUGAAUAGUCAUUAUCUCCUUCACAAGCUCCUCCAUUUCUGGAAUGACUUCAUCCAUUGCUCCUUAAAAAUUCAUUUUUCUCUAUGACUGGGCAGUGUAUUUGUGGUGUUAUGCACUACUUAUAUGUUUCAGCAAUUCGGUGUUGAUUUGAUUAUCCUUAUUAGACACUUCUCUCACAGCAGUCAUCUGUUUUUUAGAGGAUUUCCUCCAAGAUAUUUCUGCUUUGUGGGUUUGUCUUAUGACAUCUCCUUUGCUUUAUAUCCCUUCUAUCUCAGUUCUUGUACACAUAAUAUUUCACUUUCCUAGUUGUCAUCAUUAUGCUUCUUUUUUUUAAUUGUAUUUCUGUUCUUUAGCUGCCCAACUUGCUGUCCCUUUUAAGCUAUCUUCAUGGACUGCAUUUGUGUAUGAUGAAGCAGGCCAGGGUGAUCUAUCUGUAUGUCAUGUACAAUGUACUCCCUAGUCUUUAACUCUGCAUCUGUUCAGUUUUCAGAUGAUCUAUGGAUAUAUCUUAUAUAGCACCCAUAUAACUUGCACUAAAUUUGUUAUUAGGGAAAAAAUAACAAGUACAAUAUGCAACAUUUUGACAUUCUUUGCUUAAAAACAAAUAAAUUAAUAACCAGAAUGCAUAGCUGGACAAAAAAUCAGCUUUGAAGGUCUGAUAAGCAAAAGAGGAAAAAAUCCAGUAAUUUUAUUUUUUUCAUUAUAUUUGGGUGUUGGCUAAUUUAAACAAACUAGUGUUUGCUGGAUGCCAUGUUUAUUGUAUCUUGAUUAAAGAGAUUAGUGUGCAGAUUCCCCUGUACAUGGUAUAUUAGGAAAUAAAUAUGCAGAUGCAGGGGAAUACUUUUGCAUUCUAUGAUAAUUCAAUUAUAAAAAUGACCCAUGCAAUAACAAUAUUUUUUAGAUAUCUGAAAAACAUUGUCACCUCUUGUGUAAUGGGAAGCAAUAAGUAUAUGAUAUCAGUCUCACUUCCUUCCCAUGGCCAUGUUAUAAUAUAUCUGUGUAUAGCAUUCAAAACUUAAAUGUAAAUAAGACAUAUUUACAGUCAUACACAUUCUCUUGAUAGUACACAUUUGUUUGAUUCUGCACAUCUUUGCCACAGAUAUUUUGGCAUGCAUUUCCAAAGCUGUGGGAUGGAUCUUGGUACCUAACAGCAGAAUUAUGGCGUCCUGCUGGAGCAUUUCAAGUGCUUCCUAUCUGCUGUCUCGCAGUUGCUUGUCAAAGUAAUGUUUUUGAAAUCUACGACUCUGUCCCGGACCCUGAUGUACCCAAGAUGCGUUCUGUUGUAAAUGGAGCAGUCAAUCUUUGCACUGCACUGUAUAUAGCUGUUGGAUUCUUAGGCUAUGUAGCAUUUGUAGACAAAGACCUCAGUGGUAAUGUUAUUAUGAACUUCCCAAGCUCCCACUUAACUGAGGGAAUAAAGAUGUUCUUCACAGUGUCUCUGGCCAUCAGUUUUCCACUGAUGAUAUUUCCUUGCCGAACUUCAAUCCAUUCUCUUCUCUAUCGC